rnacentral:rRNA from 1 species
GUGAGGAAUAUUGCGCAAUGGAGGCAACUCUGACGCAGCCAUGCCGCGUGCAGGAAGAAGGCGCUACGCGUUGUAAACUGCUUUUAACCGGGAAGAAAACCCAGGACGUGUCCUGGGUUGACGGUACCGGAGGAAUAAGCACCGGCUAACUUCGUGCCAGCAGCCGCGGUAAUACGAAGGGUGCAAGCGUUAUCCGGAUUCAUUGGGUUUAAAGGGUGCGUAGGCGGAGCGUUAAGUCAGUGGUGAAAUCCUGCAGCUUAACUGUAGACUUGCCAUUGAUACUGGCGCUCUUGAGUGCGCUUGAAGUGGGCGGAAUGUGCCGUGUAGCGGUGAAAUGCUUAGAUAUGGCACAGAACACCAAUUGCGAAGGCAGCUCACUAAGGCGAUACUGACGCUGAGGCACGAAAGCGUGGGGAUCGAACAGGAUUAGAUACCCCAGUAGUCC